GGGGGUUUGAACUCAAGACCUUUGCAAAUGUCAAUAUAGAGCUUCUAAAGGGAAGGUUUCAAUUUUCAAUCCGUUUGUGAAUAAUGAAUUUCAAGGUUUUAACACUCAAAACACUAUUGAUAAGCAUAGAAUUUUGAAUGCAUGCAUUUUAAAGCUGGCGAAAAUUGGAGCCAAGAAGAAGAAAGGAAUUGGGGUGGUUUUUUCACAAAACAUCAUGGAGCUAGGAGGGAUGAAGAGAGAAAACAAAUUGGAUAUGAAAUUGUUGUUUAUAAGGCGCUUUACCCAAUCUUUGGAGGGGAUUUCUUGCAGAUGUUAUGGCUGCCAUUGACCAGGGUUGGAGGUAUUUUGUUAAUGUGUUUCUUCACUUUAUCAGAGCUGACGGUAAUCGGGGCCAAGAAGAAGAAAGUGCAGAUGCGGGAAAACACAAAAAGUUUACAAGAAACAGAAGUGAAAUCUUGCCCUGCAUCAUGGACUAAAUCAUCAAAGUAGCCGCUUACCAGAAAUGCGGAAAAGUAAAAAGAAAGAAGGUUCUGCUUUCCUUGUCAAGUUCGGUUAAAUGUUCAACAGUGCCCUGAUUCAAGAUCUAUUUUUGGUCUCUCUAGGACCGUGGGAUCUCUCCAAACGCUGAUGAAUCAAAAGAAACUAAAGAGUAUAUAUGCACAAUAAGCUGCAAAUGAAUCGUAGUGAUGUUGGGAUUGCUAUUGGAAAAUGGAGUUGUGGUGCUUUUGCUGGAGAUCCUGAAUGGCUAGCUGCAUCCCAGAUUAUCAGCUGAACGUGUAGUUUGCCAUUUCUUACAAGCACACUUGCUGCACUAGCUCCAUUGUUCACACGCUGCAAUACAAAAAUGUGUUCUAAAUAAUACUUGUGAAGAUAAGUCAAGUUGCGGACUGACAUUGAUCUUUCAUCAAUCCGUACUUUUGCUACAAGCUCAGUCGUGCACGGGUUCAUGACAUGUGAACACAAAAAAUCUCUUCAAAUUAUACGAUAGUCUCAUAGUCUUAACGAAAGACAAAGUCAAUACUUGAGGGUGGGUUAUCUGAGGAAAAUCUGGGGUACAAGCAUCUCCUUAUGCUCCUACUCUAACCAAGGUAGGGGAUUUGAUGUUUGAAAUCUUGUCCUUUGUGAUAUACUUGUAUUAACAAUGAGUUGUUUCCAAUCGACAUUUAAUCUAAUAACGCAACAAUUAUCUA